GUGCUCACUUCGGCAGCACAUAUACUAAAAUUGGAAUGAUACAGAAGAGAUUAGCAUGGCCCCCGAGCAAGGAUAACAUGCAAAUACCAGAACUUCUCACAUUGAUU